rnacentral:rRNA from 1 species
CCUACCAUGCAAGUCGAACGAGACCUUCGGGUCUAGUGGCGCACGGGUGCGUAACGCGUGGGAACCUGCCUUGAGGUUCGGAAUAACUCCCCGAAAGGGGUGCUAAUACCGGAUGAUGUCUUCGGACCAAAGAUUUAUCGCCUUUAGAUGGGCCCGCGUUGGAUUAGCUAGUUGGUGGGGUAAAGGCCUACCAAGGCGGCGAUCCAUAGCUGGUCUGAGAGGAUGAUCAGCCACACUGGGACUGAGACACGGCCCAGACUCCUACGGGAGGCAGCAGUGGGGAAUAUUGGACAAUGGGCGAAAGCCUGACCCAGCAAUGCCGCGUGAGUGAUGAAGGCCUUAGGGUUGUAAAGCUCUUUUACCAGGGAUGAUAAUGACAGUACCUGGAGAAUAAGCUCCGGCUAACUCCGUGCCAGCAGCCGCGGUAAUACGGAGGGAGCUAGCGUUGUUCGGAAUUACUGGGCGUAAAGCGCACGUAGGCGGCGACUCAAGUCAGAGGUGAAAGCCCGGGGCUCAACCCCGGAACUGCCUUUGAAACUAGGUUGCUAGAAUCUUGGAGAGGUCAGUGGAAUUCCGAGUGUAGAGGUGAAAUUCGUAGAUAUUCGGAAGAACACCAGUGGCGAAGGCGACUGACUGGACAAGUAUUGACGCUGAGGUGCGAAAGCGUGGGGAGCAAACAGGGUUAGAUACCCUGGUAGUCCACGCCGUAAACGAUGAUAACUAGCUGUCCGGGCACUUGGUGCCUGGGUGGCGCAGCUAACGCAUUAAGUUAUCCGCCUGGGGAGUACGGUCGCAAGAUUAAAACUCAAAGGAAUUGACGGGGGCCUGCACAAGCGGUG